CUUCGUCUUGUACCUCCAUUGUGUCACCGGAGCCAUCAUGAACAUAGUCCUCCUCUUGUACCGGCAUUAAUGGGUCGAAGCCAUCAUAAACAUAGCCCUCUUCUUCAUCCAGCUGACCAACGGUGUCGAUGAGAAAUGACGCAACAUCAUCACUUCCAUUUGCGAUUAUGUCCCCCAACAUCGCUUUUGUUUCUUCGUCUCUGGAGUGCUCCAUAGUUUCUGCAAAUAUUGACAACAUGUCAAUUAUUAUUCAAACAUGGUACAUAGUGGCAAACGUAGAACUAGCUAGCUAAUCACAAUAAGGAAUCAUGUUAGUAGCCUCGACGCUGCUUCUCUAGGGUUUGGGGUCGCCUCAACACAAAGCUUCAAGGGUUUGGGGUGGCCUCGACGAUAACGCUCUUUUAACUUGAUAAAUUUGGGUGGCCUCGAGAGAGUUAAUUUGUCGGGUAGGGGCGCGGCGGGAGGGGGUAGGAGACCUGCAACAUCGUUUUCUCUCUAGGGUUUGGGUGUCCUCGAGAGUUUUGGUCGAGCGAGAGGGCCGAGGGGGCUGCUGCAGUUGUAUCUAGAGGGGGUUAUAUCGACAACGACGCGACAUACAUAUACAUGGGAAAAUAAUGUUAUCGGGGAGGGGGUAUCGGUACCACCCCCUCGUGUUGAAGUUUCUUCUUUCUCCUUUCCUUUCUUUCUUCUUCUCCUCUUCUUUUUCUUCUUCUCCCUCGAGAAAGGAAAAUAAUUAAGGAAAAGGAAGAAAAGAGGAAGAAGGAAGAAGGAAGAAGAAGAAGAAGUAAAAGAAGAAAAAAAA
rnacentral:lncRNA from 1 species